CGGCCAGGGCCCGCAGCCUACACAUGCAGUCGAGCGGUAACAGGGGUAGCUUGCUACCCGCUGACGAGCGGCGGACGGGUGAGUAAUGCAUAGGAAUCUACCCAGUAGUGGGGGAUAACCUGGGGAAACCCAGGCUAAUACCGCAUACGUCCUACGGGAGAAAGGGGGCUUCGGCUCCCGCUAUCGGAUGAGCCUAUGCCGGAUUAGCUGGUUGGUGAGGUAACGGCUCACCAAGGCGACGAUCCGUAGCUGGUCUGAGAGGAUGAUCAGCCACAUCGGGACUGAGACACGGCCCGAACUCCUACGGGAGGCAGCAGUGGGGAAUAUUGGACAAUGGGGGCAACCCUGAUCCAGCCAUGCCGCGUGUGUGAAGAAGGCCCUCGGGUUGUAAAGCACUUUCAGCGAGGAAGAACGCCUAUCGGUUAAUACCCGUUAGGAAAGACAUCACUCGCAGAAGAAGCACCGGCUAACUCCGUGCCAGCAGCCGCGGUAAUACGGAGGGUGCAAGCGUUAAUCGGAAUUACUGGGCGUAAAGCGCGCGUAGGUGGCUUGAUAAGCCGGUUGUGAAAGCCCCGGGCUCAACCUGGGAACGGCAUCCGGAACUAUCAGGCUAGAGUGCAGGAGAGGAAGGUAGAAUUCCCGGUGUAGCGGUGAAAUGCGUAGAGAUCGGGAGGAAUACCAGUGGCGAAGGCGGCCUUCUGGACUGACACUGACACUGAGGUGCGAAAGCGUGGGUAGCAAACAGGAUUAGAUACCCUGGUAGUCCACGCCGUAAACGAUGUCGACCAGCCGUUGGGUGCCUAGCGCACUUUGUGGCGAAGUUAACGCGAUAAGUCGACCGCCUGGGGAGUACGGCCGCAAGGUUAAAACUCAAAUGAAUUGACGGGGGCCCGCACAAGCGGUGGAGCAUGUGGUUUAAUUCGAUGCAACCGCGAAGAACCUUACCUACCCUUGACAUCUACAGAAGGCUGAGAGAGAUCCUGGUUGUGCCUUCGGGAACUGUAAGAACAGGGUGCUGCAUGGCUGGUCGUCAGCUCGUGUUGUGAAAUGUGGCGUUAAGUCCCGUAACGAGCGCAAACCCCUGUCCUUAUUUGCCACCGAGUAAGGUCGGGAACUCUCUAAGGAAACCUGCCGGUGACAAACCGGAGGAGUUGGGGAACUACGUCCAAGUCAACUCUGGCCCUACCGGUUAGGGUCUACCCACCGUGCUUACACAAGUGCCUGGAU
rnacentral:rRNA from 1 species